CCUACGGGAGGCAGCAGUGAGGAAUAUUGGUCAAUGGACGAGAGUCUGAACCAGCCAAGUAGCGUGAAGGAUGACUGCCCUAUGGGUUGUAAACUUCUUUUAUAUGGGAAUAAAAUGUUCCACGCGUAUGAUUUUGUAUGUAUCAUAUGAAUAAGGAUCGGCUAACUCCGUGCCAGCAGCCGCGGUAAUACGUAGGAUCCGAGCGUUAUCCGGAUUUCUUGGGUUUAAAGGGAGCGUAGGUGGAUUGUUAAGUCAGUUGUGAAAGCUUGGGGCUCAACCGGAAAAUUGCAGUUGAAAUGUGCAGUCAUGAGGACAGUAGAGUUGGGCGGAAUUCGUGGUGUAGCGGUGAAAUGCU
rnacentral:rRNA from 1 species